rnacentral:lncRNA from 1 species
GAUGAAACCGGAGAGGUUGUUAUGGGACAGAUUAAGGUUCUCUAAGCUCUCCAAACCUUCGAUUUGUGGUGGGAUUUCUCCUGAAAGCAAGUUGUGACUCAGAUCUAACUGGGAGAGGUGACUCAGCUUACCCAUCUGAGCUGGAAUUCUGUUGCUAAGUUUGUUAUUGCUCAGGUUCAAGUAAUGUAAGUUCAAGCAGGCACCCAAGUUCUCUGUUAUUGACCCAUUCAAUCUGUUUGCUGAUAGAUCGAGAUGGGCAAGACUGAACAGAGAUCCAAGUUCGGGAGGUAUACUUCCAGAAAGUUGGUUAUCAUUUAAUUUUAGCUCCAACAGAGAAGUUAAACUUCCCAUUUUCUUUGGGAUUUCCCCAACCAAAUGAUUUGAAGAAAGAUCAAGCAAAGUUAGAUUAGUUGAGAUUCCAAAAUCUUCUGGUAUGCUCCCUGUAAUAUCGUUACCGGCCAUCUCCAGCCUUUGUAGUUGUGGGCACCUUCCCCAGUUAUGAGAGAGUUCGCCAUGAAACCUGUUGUAGCUCAAAUCGAUGUAUUCCAGGUUUGGACAGUCACCAACUACCUCAGAUAUAUUUCCAGUGAGUUGAUUUCCCCCGAACAGAGCUCUGGUUAAGUUUCUGCAAUUUUUCAUGCUUUUAGGGAUGGGACCACUGAGAAGGUUGUCGCUCACUGUAAAGCGUACCAGAGAUCCACCUUGGCAAAUUCCUUCUGGUAAAGAGCCAGACAGCCGAUUUGUGUCGAUUUCUAGCACAACCAACUUAUGAAGUUUCCCAAUUUCUUUAGGAAAGUAACCAGAAAGAUGGUUAUCACGGAGGAAUAAAAUUUCUAAGUUGGUCAGAUUACCCAGUGAAGUAGGAAUGGAACCAUUGAGUUGGUUUUCUGAAAGUUCUAGAUCAACAAGAGACUUCAAGUUACCUAUUUCUGGAGGAAUGGGACCGGAAAGUUGAUUGGCAUAGAGAUGCAGGAGGGUUAGGCCACUGAGAUCACCCAAGGACGCAGGGAUUGGACCAGAAAGAUUGUUUGCGUAGAGGCUUAUACCUUGCAGAGAUGUCAAAUUUCCUAUUUCUGGUGGGAUAUGCCCGGAGAGUUGAUUGUUGAAUAGGUACAACGUGGUUAAACGUUUCAAGUUUCCGAAAGUGGAAGGGAUGAGACCUGUGAGAUUGUUGGUAUCCGAGUAUAUCUCAACAAGGUUGGCGAGAUUUCCCAUUUCUGGAGGAAUGGAACCGGAAAGUUGAUUUUCAUAGAGAUACAAAGAGGCCAAGUUGCUCAAAUUACCCAAAGAAGCAGGAAUAGAACCCUCCAGUUGGUUGGUGUACAAAGCAAGCUCAUAAAGAGAUGACAACUGACCGAUUUCAUGAGGAAUUGAACCAUUGAGCUGAUUUUGAACCAGGUGCAGGACCUCAAGGUUAGUUAAUAGGCCAAUUUCCGGUGGAAUCCCUCCUGAGAACUGGUUGGUGGACAGAUCAAGGUAUUUGAGCUUGGAGAGGAGACCGAUUUGGGGUGGGAUAGGACCAGAGAGGUUGUUGAUGCAGACAUCAACGUAUGCAAGAUUGGGAAAAGAUGAAAAUGAGAAGGCUUGGAGCGUACCUCUUAAACCGGACUCUGUGAGGUUUAUUCUGAUGACACUCCCUGCAUGGUUGCAGGAUAUCCCAUACCAUUUGCAUGGACCGGUUGCCGUUCCAUGGUGGGUAGAAGAAUUGGUGGAGUUGUUAGGAUCCGGAUAAAGAGUCCACGAAAGGAGGAAAGAAUGGUUAUGGUUGUGAAGGGUAGAUUUCCAUUUGAGGAGAGCUUGUGUUUCUUCAUUAGAAUAAGAAGAAACAUGAUCUGAACAAAUUAACAUAACCAAGAGGAGUAGGGAAACAAGGGAGAGCAUUUUCUGUAAGGUUGAGAACGCCAUGUAUAGUUUUAGUUGAUAAAUUGCAUAUGCUGCUUCACAUCUUCUUUUAUACACAUUUGGUUCCUUUGGUCCUUUUAGGUGACUGUCUUGUUCACGCGUAUUCCCACAGGGAAGAAAGUUGCGUUUUAAUGUCAAGAUCAAGGUCCUUUGAAGCAUGGCUCCUUUUUCUUUCUUUUUUCCAUGGAUUGCACUGUACUAGUAUGGUGGUCUUCCUGUGUGAUUAUGGUGGUUGAAAUCUUCUCUUUUUGCAAAUUUGGAAAUUAAGUUUAGCAGGUGUUGUUGAACAAUAUUUUUAAUUGUUUUUAGUUGAUUUCACUUAUUUUUAAGGGUUGUUUUAAAAAAAAAAAAAUUAUAUAAAUAGGAAGAAUGAUUAAAAAUAAAAUAAUAGAUAUAAAAAUUAUUUUUAAAACAUAUUUAAGAACAUUAAAAAUAAGUUAAAAAUACCAAUUUCUUAAACAAAAUUUUAUUUUACAAAAUAUCAGAGAACAAUUUUAAUUUUUUUUUUCAAAAAUUGUUAUUCAUAAUUGUUUGUAAAAAUAUUCUAUUAAAUAGAGCCUAAUUCUUUUUGGGUCUUUACUUUCAUGUUUAUAAUCAUAAUGGUUUGCCCUUUAUUAACAAACUUGAAGGUUUGUUUUAGUUAAAUAAUUGCAAAAGAAAAUUUUAGUAUGUCAUAUUUAAUCACUUAAGUGGAUUUAUUAAAACUUAGGUGAUGUUUUUAAUAGUAUUUAAUAAUGUUAAGUAUUAAGUUGUUUAUUUUUUUUUAAUAUUUUAUUUCAAUUAAGUAUUAAAAAAUAUAGAAAAAUUAAUAUGUUGCUUUUGAUAUUAAGAAAAAGUCAAAUAUUUUGAUUUUUUUCUAUUUAAUGAAAAAAUUUAAGAAAUAAGUAAUAAGUUAACAAAAAGUGAAAAAAUAAAUAAUUUGAAAUCUAAAAGCAAAUUACUUUAAAAAAAAAAGUUAAAAAAAAUGUCAUCUUAAUAAUUAAUAUUUAGAAAAUUUUAAAGAAAGUGAAAAAGAAAAAAAUGAAGUGAAAAAAAUGGAUUUUAAGUUAAUAAUUUAUUUUUAUAUGGUUUUUAAAACUUAUUUUAAUUAUUUUCUUUUAUAUAUAAAAAUUAAAUUAUUUAAAAACAUUUAAAAAUUUAUAAAUAAUUUUAAUUAUAUUUACUAACUUUUUUUUAUGUAUUUUAAUCAAACAUUAGAAAAUACUUUUUUUAAAUAUCUUUUCGUCUCUCCUUUCUUAGAACUAAAGAUAAGAAUGAUAAUUAAAUAUGAUUUAAAUUUAAAUUAUAUUUAACUUGUUGACUUAACAUUUAUUAUCUAAUUUUUAAUUUUUAAGUAUUAAGAUUAUUUGUUCAUAUUACUUAAUUUUUUAAAAAUUAUUAACCUCAUAUUAUCAAGUAACAAGAUUAUUUGAGAGGUACAAGGAAGAUAAAGGGACAUGGGCUGUUCAGGUAAAAAAAAAAAAAUGAAAUUUAGAAAAAGUUAAUUUUUUUGAGCUGUUAUUCUAAGUUUUUUUUUUUUUUUAGGUUUUAUAGGUUUGAUAGGACUUUAUGAUUGGACUCCAUAAUUUCCCUUUGGUCCUUUUCAUUUUUGAAUUUCACUGAGUUUAGCCCACUCUAUUUAACCCAAUUUUUAAGGCCCAUUGAGUUUAUAUUGAAACCCAGGUCUACUUGAUAAUAUGAGGUUAAUAAUUUUAUACACACUCACUUUGUAAGAUUGAAUCCCAGCCAUUGAUUUUAUAUUGAAACCCUAACCCAGAGGUACUUUUAGAGUCUUUAGUAUGAUAAGAAUAGGAUAUAUAUAAUAUCAUUUGGUAGGAUAUGAUAGAUACUUAUAUUUUAGAAUAUAUUUUUUGAGAAAUAUGAUAUUUUUGAAUAUUAUGUAUUUACUAUAUAUUAUAUUAUAUUUAUAUUAUUUAUAAAAUAAAUAAAUAAAUUAUUUUUUAAAUAAUAGAUACUUAUAUUUUAAAAUAUAUUUUUUGAGAAAUAUGAUAUUUUUAAAUAUUAUCUCUAAAUAGUGUAAAGUAUUAUAUAUAUAUAUAUAUAUAUAUAUAUAUAUAUAUAUAUAUAUAUAUUUAUAAAAUGAAUUAUUUAAUUAAUUAAAAAUUAAUUUUUAAUUAUUUAAUAUUUAUUUAAAAUAAAUAUCAUAUUGAUCCAAGUGAAGCUCAUCCCUUGAAUAGUAAUUCCAAAAGUGCUACAGUCAGCAAGAAAUUGCAUGAUAUGCUCUUGCUUUGCUUCUCCUGUAGCUUUAGCCUUUUCACAGAUCAUCUGUCUAAGGUUUUCAAGAAGGUCCAAAUUUUUCAGCUUGAAAAAUGAAAAUCUGGAAAUUUGACAUUCUUGGCUUUCUUGAGAAAGUUUUGAAUCUUCAUUUGGUUUUGAAAGUUCUUUUUGAAAUUCAUUUUGAAAAUCUUUUGAAAAUGCAUCUUUGGAUCCUUUUGCUUUUUUCCUGCAAAUGAAAUUUUCAAGAUCUGUAUCCAUUGGUGUGCAAUGUAUAUCAGAACUUGAAGGGUUAGAAAAACUUUCUAAUUUAUCAUUUAACUGUUUAAAAUGGAAAGAUAAUGCAUUUAAAGCUUCCAACUUUUGAAUAUCACUUUUUGCAUUCCAGAGGUUGUCUAAAAUGCAUUUUUGUGAUCUGUCUAAACCUUCAAUAUCUUUAUGAAUUCGAAAUGACAUAUUACAUUUAGGGAAUACUGGAAGAGUAAAUUUCCCAAAUGUAAUUCUUUCUUGCUCCAUCUGUAAACAAAAUUCAAAUAUUAGUAUCUCUAUUGAAGAAUAAAACAAAUAUCUAAUGAUUUUGUCUUUAUCAUACCAAAUUUGAAAAUAUAUUGAGUUUAUGAGAGGAACAUAAUUUCUAAUAAUGAUGUUAAAAUGAGGUUUUGAAUAUUUUGAAAUCACAUUUAUUGACUUAUAUGAGCAUGCACAAAUACCAUCACAAUCUUUUUGAUUAUCUGAUUCUUCUUCUAGACUUGACUCGUCACUUGAUAUUUCUUGAGUUAUAAGGAUUUGAUUAUCUUCUUCUGAUUCAUAAUUUUCACUUGAUUCAUCAUUUUCUUUAUCAAUCAUUAAUCCUAUCAUUAGAUUUUUGAGUUUAUCACUUAUUUCUAAUGAAUUGAUUUUAUUUUCUAAUUGACAAUCUCUUGAAUAAUGACCUACUUUUCCACAUUUAUAACAAGUAGGUGUUUUCUUUUUUAAAUCUGAGGAUUGUUUUUAUCAGUGUUAUGAGUGAUUUCAACUGAAUCGGUGUCUACCAGGAUGAACUCAUAGAAUUGACGAGUUUUCAAAGGAUCAUUUGAAUUAAAGUUGACUCCUUGAGGAAAGAUGUAAGGAAGAAUUUUAGGAAUCUCUUCAAAAUUGAACUCUGGCUCAAUGAAAGCAAUUUCUAAUGUUUUGGGUUUUUUGACAUAUUGACUAUAGGAAUAUGAAGGAGAAGGAAACUGAGAAGGAGAAGGUAAUGUUGAAAUAGUGUUGGGGCUUGAUUUACUCUGAACAACAAUAUUUUUAGGGGAUGAUUUAGAAGCUUGAAUAAAACUUUUUGAAGGUUGAAGAGGAGGAAAAUCUGGACUCAAAACUUGAAAAGAAUUUGAUGUCUGCAAAGGAAAAGUAGGACGAACAUUUGAAAAGUUUGAAAUCAUAGCAUAUGAUGCUUUGGUUUUCUUGGAUGAUGAAGGAAGUUGAGGCCUAACGGGAGUACCCAUUAGGAUGGAGAAGGAUCCUUACCCUGCAAAAACUCCCGAGUAAGGAAGUCAGGAAGGGAAUUCAACUCUCCUUUGAUAAAUUCGAUUUCAAAAUCAAAGUUUGAAAGUAAAGCUUGCCAUCUUGCAAAAAUUUGUUUUGAAACCAAAUUUUUAACAUCUUUUUGUAAAAUAUCUUUUGCAGCUUUGCAAUCGAUUUUCAAAAGAAAUUUCUUGUUUAUCAAAUCACUUUGAAAUUUUGAAAUACACAAAACUAUUGAUAAAACUUCUUUUUUGACAGUUGAAUAAUUUAUUUGAGCGCCCAACCAGAUCCCUGAAUGAUAUCUAACUAUAUGCACUUGAUUGUUAUAUUCUUGCUUUAAUAUGCCUCCAUAACCUAAAUUAGAUGCAUCUGAUUCUACAAUGAGUAAUGCAUUUGGAUGAGGAAUGCUGAUGCAUGGUAAUCUUUUGACUCUUUGUUUAAUUUCUUUAACCAGACUGGUAUGAUGCUCAUUCCAUGCAGGUGCAUUUUUUGUAAGUCUUUUGUAUAAUGGUUCACAAAUGAUUCUCAAAUCUUUGAAGUAAUCAGAAACAUAAUUUAAACAUCCUAGAAAUCUUUGCAAUUGUUUUUUAUCUUUUAUUUCAUCAGGAAAUUUGUCAGCGAAUUCUAUUGAUCUUUGAAUCGGUUUUGUUUUUCCUUGAAAAAUUUCAUGACCUAAAAAUCUGAUUUUUGUUUGAAACAAUUUCAUUUUUGGAGCAGAACAAGCCAUUCCAUUUGCUUUAAUGACAUUAAAAAACUUUUUCAAAUGAAUAAAAUGUUUUUCUAAUGAAUCAGAAAAUACUAAAACAUCGUCAAUAUAUACAAUGAUGAACUGAAAAUGAGGAUUAAAAAUAUCAUUCAUAAUAUUUUGAAAUUCAGAAGGGGCAUUUUUGAGACCAAAAGGCAUGACAUUCCAUUCAUAAUGACCAAAAGGGACAGUAAAAGCAGUUUUGUACCUAUCUUCUUCUUUAAUUUGAACUUGCCAAAAUCCUGAUUUCAUAUCAAAUUUUGAAUAAAUGACAGAACUAUGAAGUCUUUUAAGUAAAUCUUGCUUAUUAGGAAUAGGGUAUCUUAUCCAUUGUAAUACUUUAAUUAAAGGUUUAUAAUUAAUGACUAAUCUAGGUGCUCCUCUUUCUAUCUCAGCAGCAUUUUGAACAUAAAAAGCAGCACAACUCCAAGGAGAUUUUGAGGGUCUAAUUAAUUUCUUCUUUAAUAAUGAAUCAAUUUCUUGUUUGCAAUAUUUCAAAAGUUUUUCAUUCAUUUGAAUCGGCCUAGCCUUAGUAGGAAUUUUGGACUCAUCAAAAUUUUGAAUGUAAGGCAAACUUAUCUCAUGUUUCUUUCUUGACCAAAAAGCAUUAGGAAGAUCAGAACAAAUUUCAUUUUGAAAAAGAUCUUGAAUCUCUUUAAUUUUCUUUUGAACUUUAUCUUCUAAGAGUUGUUCAUCUACCUUUUUAUAUUGAAUUUCUUUUGAUAGAUAAUUUAUAUGAGCUUUCUUUCUUUGAAUUAAAUUUAUGUUCUUAUUUAUUGAAUCACUUUGAACUUGAUGUAUUUCUUUUUUAGUUAAUGGAUAUAUAAAGGGAAAAAAUAUGGUAUUUCCUAAUAUUGUAGUUUUGACACCUUCAUCAUUUACUUGAAAAGGGUAAAGUAAGGUAAUAAAAGGAGUUCCUAAUAUUAGAGGUUCAUUCAUAUUUUGUACUAAUAUAAAUUGAGUUCUAAAACAAUAAUUAUCUUGACAUAUAUGAACAUUUUGAAGUUUAUAUUUUAUUUCUAAUUUUCCUUUAUUUGCAGCAAAAAGUUCUUGUCCUGUUUUUUCAUAAUAUUUAGUAGGAAUUAUUCCUUCUUGAAUACAAUUCAUAUCAGCUCCCGAGUCUAUUAAUGCUACUAUUUCUAUUUCAAAAUCUUCAACUAUAAUUUUUAUAUUUGUAUACCAUCUUUGAAAAUAUAUUUUUGAUAUUGUAUUUAUAAAUGAUUCUAUAGGAGUUAUUUUAUUAGGUAUUAUUAUUCCUGGUUCUUGNNNNNNNNNNNNNNNNNNNNNNNNNNNNNNNNNNNNNNNNNNNNNNNNNNNUAUUUGAAAAACCAAAGGAAAAAAGGAAUAGUCAUCUUAACUUGUUGCAUAUAUUUUUCAUAUUGUUUUCUUAAUGCAUUUCUAACUUGAGGAGGAAGUUGUUGAAAAUAAUUUCUUUUUGCCGUAUUUUCAGGAGAAAAAUAAUUUGCUUUAAUUAAUUCUACUUCAGGAACAAAAUGAUUUCUUUUAAUGUAUUUUUUCUAAUGAUAUUUAUGUUUAAAGGAGGUUUAUCUUGAAAGAAAAUUUUUGACUCAGACUCUUCUUCAAAAAGAGAAAUUUCAGGAACAAAGUUUGAACUAUUUUUUAGUUGAUUUUCUAUUUGAUUUAAUUCUUCAUUAAAUUUUGAAUUAUUAAAUUUUAUAUGAUGACUCCAUGAUGAUGCAGCUACUGAUGCAGAUGAUGAUGCAGUAGAUGCAUUGAAAAUCUCAUUAUCUUAUAUGAAGAACUUUCUAAAUUAUAUGCAGAAUUAUUUAAUGCAGAUGCAGAACUUUCAUGGGACCUAAGAGAUCUGGAAGAACUAUUUCUACUUAAUUCCCUAAUAAUAUUACUCAUUGUCACAGAAAAUAAUCACAAUUUUAUCCUUAAUCAAUUCAGAUAAUUUCCUGAACAGGGACCACCACAAGCGGAUCAACACGGGACUUACGCUCCUUCUGCCCUUAAACACCGCUUAUCACAGGCUGACCAAACCGUUCACAGGAAAUUCAACCCGAACUAAGUCAGGACUAAAUCUGCGAUUAAUCACUGUUCCAACUCGUAACAUCACUCGGUUCUCAAGCAGAAAAUGGCUCUGAUACCAUUUGCACCCAGGACAUACAACAGUUCGUGCAUGCAAUAAUUAAGUAAUAAUUAAGCAAUAAUUAGCAAUAAUUAAAUCUGUCUAAUUAUCUCCAAGCAUAAAAACUGAAAUAUUUAAUGUCUAAUACUGUCUAAUUUAUUGCAGAAAUUUAAGCAUAAUAAAACAAAUAUUUGAAUCUGAAAAUAUUGUUUAUUGAAAAUAUACCUUGAUUACAGAGAGCUGAUGACUACAGGUUGUUGACAGCAGAGGAAUGACUCUAAUUCAAAAAGAAAAUUACAAAAGAAAAUUUUUGAACUCUCAGAAAUUUUUUGAAACUAUCUCUUGGCUGUUGGAACUCUCCCAACUCUUGGAACUCUUGAACCCUUGCCGACCUCUCACCCUAGCCGACCUCUGCCUGAUGAAGAAGGUUGAAGCUCCUUAUAUAGGUGAGGAUUCGGACUUUAGAUGAAUCUUCAAUCUUGAAAGUUUUGGAAUUUCAUCACAUGUAGGCCAGGUGGAGCAUUCUGCAGAAGAAAGAGUGAGGGAAGAUUUCAAAAUAUUCAAAACCUCAUUUUAACAUCAUUAUUAGAAAUUAUGUUCCUCUCAUAAACUCAAUAUAUUUUCAAAUUUGGUAUGAUAAAGACAAAAUCAUUAGAUAUUUGUUUUAUUCUUCAAUAGAGAUACUAAUAUUUGAAUUUUGUUUACAGAUGGAGCAAGAAAGAAUUACAUUUGGGAAAUUUACUCUUCCAGUAUUCCCUAAAUGUAAUAUGUCAUUUCGAAUUCAUAAAGAUAUUGAAGGUUUAGACAGAUCACAAAAAUGCAUUUUAGACAACCUCUGGAAUGCAAAAAGUGAUAUUCAAAAGUUGGAAGCUUUAAAUGCAUUAUCUUUCCAUUUUAAACAGUUAAAUGAUAAAUUAGAAAGUUUUUCUAACCCUUCAAGUUCUGAUAUACAUUGCACACCAAUGGAUACAGAUCUUGAAAAUUUCAUUUGCAGGAAAAAAGCAAAAGGAUCCAAAGAUGCAUUUUCAAAAGAUUUUCAAAAUGAAUUUCAAAAAGAACUUUCAAAACCAAAUGAAGAUUCAAAACUUUCUCAAGAAAGCCAAGAAUGUCAAAUUUCCAGAUUUUCAUUUUUCAAGCUGAAAAAUUUGGACCUUCUUGAAAACCUUAGACAGAUGAUCUGUGAAAAGGCUAAAGCUACAGGAGAAGCAAAGCAAGAGCAUAUCAUGCAAUUUCUUGCUGACUGUAGCACUUUUGGAAUUUCUAUUCAAGGGAUGAGCUUCACUUGGAUUUCUUGUUAUGACAAUACUUAUAAUAAUUGUCCAAAGACCGAUCCCUUGUGUAGAGAAAUUCCAUUAGAAAGGCAUGACUGUAAGUGUGCUCUUACUUACAGUAUAUGCAAAGCCAACAUUAACCUAGACAGUUAUAAACCAAUAGUCAGUCAAUAGAGUUAACUCCAUCCCUCCUCAUGGACUAUGGAGUUCUUUAUCAAUUGAUUUUCUCUCAUCCUGAUCAAACUGAUAAAUUUGGAAGAAAAUUAGUUGUUUGUGUUUUAAAUGCAUUCAUCAAUGAUUUCAAAUCUGUCGAACUCAUCAUAGAAAGUAAACCUCCUGAAUGGUCGAAUGAUGGAGGAGUCUACCCUGCUCAACAUCUCAUUUUACUCAAAGCCAAUCAGAGAAAACAUCAGCUGUUUGGUACAGAGGACCCUUGGCCCUGUACUAAAUCCAGUCUCAAAAAACAAAUCAGACAUUGGAGAUCAAGAAUGAUUGCAAGAGACCUUGAUUCCGAGAUUUAUAGUUCUUCUAACUAUAAUCUCAUUGCUGAAGAUAAUAUUCAAAAAAUCAUCUUUGCAAAUAACUUUUAUGAAGUCCCUCUUUUGUUUCAAACUCAAUUUACUUAUCUUGUUGAUAAGUAUAAAAGAGAAUAUGUCCUUGAAGAAGAAGCCAGAAAAACUUUUGAGAAAUAUCUCUUAGAAAUGCUCAGCUAAGAGAUAUCAAGAAUCAAGAAUCUUUUGUACAUCUGUAAAGUAGCUCUCUUAUGAUUAUCCAGUAAAAAAAAAAAAAAAAAAAAAAAAAAAAAGAACAGUAUAUGAAGUCUGAAGAAGUGCACAGUGCACAGUUUGUAAGUAAAAAAAAAAAGUGAAUAGUGUUUUGUGAAUAGUAAAUCCGUCCUUUAAAGUAAAAAGCAAGAUGACUCAUUACCCAUGUGACCAAAUGAAGAAGAAGAAAGCAAAUUUACCUCCUGCAUACACGUGGAAGACAUCAAAGGCAUAAUGCCUUCUUGAAAGCCCGAAGCCUUUGCUAUAAAUAGGGCUCAAAGGCUUCCUCCCAAGGCAGAGGUCGGCAAGGGUUCAAGAGCUUGGUAGAGAGUUCCAAGAGAGAUAGUUUCAAGAGUGAAAAAAUUUGAGAGUUCAAAAUUUCUGAGAGUUCAAAAAUAUUUUCUUGUAAUUUUCUUUUUGAGUUAGAGUCAUUCCUCUGCUGUCAACAACCUGUAGUCAUCAACUCUCUGUAUUGAGGUAUAUUUUCAAUAAACAAUAUUUUAUUCAAAUAUUUGUGUUAUUAUGCUUAAAUUUCUGCAAUAAAUUAGACAGUAUUAGACAUUAAAUAUUUCUGUUUUUAUGCUUGGAGAUAAUUAGACAGAUUUAAUUAUUGCUAAUUAUUGCUUAAUUAUUACUUAAUUAUUGCGUGCAUGAACUGUUGUAUGUCCUGGGUGCAAAUGGUAUCAGAGCCAUUUUCUGUUUGAGAACCGAGUGGUGUUACGAGUUGGAACAGUGAUUAAUCGCACAUUUAGUCCUGACUUAGUUCGGGUUGAAUUUCCUAUGAACGGUUUGGUCAGCCUGUGAUAAGCGGUGUUUAAGGGCAGAAGGAGCGUAAGUCCCGUGUUGAUCCGCUUGUGGUGGUCCCUGUUCAGGAAAUUAUCUGAAUUGAUUAAGGAUAAAAUUGUGAUUAUUUUCUGUGACAAUGAGUAAUAUUAUUAGGGAAUUAAGUAGAAAUAGUUCUUCCAGAUCUCUUAGGUCCCAUGAAAGUUCUGCAUCUGCAUUAAAUAAUUCUGCAUAUAAUUUAAAAAGUUCUUCAUAUAAGAUAAUGAGAUUUUCAAUGCAUCUACUGCAUCAUCAUCUGCAUCAGUAGCUGCAUCAUCAUGGAGUCAUCAUAUAAAAUUUAAUAAUUCAAAAUUUAAUGAAGAAUUAAAUCAAAUAGAAAAUCAACUAAAAAAUAGUUCAAACUUUGUUCCUGAAAUUUCUCUUUUUGAAGAAGAGUCUGAGUCAAAAAUUUUCUUUCAAGAUAAACCUCCUUUAAACAUAAAUAUCAUUAGAAAAAAAUACAUUAAAAGAAAUCAUUUUGUUCCUGAAGUAGAAUUAAUUAAAGCAAAUUAUUUUUCUCCUGAAAAUACGGCAAAAAGAAAUUAUUUUCAACAACUUCCUCCUCAAGUUAGAAAUGCAUUAAGAAAACAAUAUGAAAAAUAUAUGCAACAAGUUAAGAUGACUAUUCCUUUUUUCCUUUGGUUUUUCAAAUAUAGGAAACCCCUUAAAAGAAUUGCAACAUUAACUUCAAGAAAAGCAAUAGAAAAUUCUCCACAUAAUAAAAAAGAGUCAAGUAAAGAAUCAAAAGAAGAAUUAAGUGAAACAAAAUUUAAUAAAAUUUUGUUUUCUUCUGCCCCGGGUGAGGUGGAGGAAACAGAAACAAAAACAAAAACAUCAACAGAAACAUCAAAACCAACAAAGAUAGAAAAUCCAAAAGAAAUCAAAAAGAUAAAUGUAAUAUCGUCAAAAGUAGAUAAGCAAAUAUUUUUUGAUGUUGUAGACAAAAUUCAAGAUAAAGAAAUACAAAGAAAUUAUUUACAAAAUUUAAAAAAUUUAAUUCUCACUGAAAAUCCAAAUAAAACUCAAGACAUCAAACCUAAUCAAUACUCAAUGGAUGAAAUUUAUAAUAGAUUCAAAAAGACUCAAAGGCCAAUAACUAUUAAAGACUUGGAAGAAGAAAUAAAAGAAAUAAAAAGUCAAAUAAAUCAAUUAAAAUUAGAUAAUGAACAAAUAAAAUUAGAAAAUGAAAUAAUAAAACAAGAAAAUGAUCAAAUAAAACAAGAGAAUGAACAAAUUAGAAACGUAAUACAAUAUAAACAAGAUUUAGCCGAAACUUCUGAAAACCAAGAACCAGGAAUAAUAAUACCUAAUAAAAUAACUCCUAUAGAAUCAUUUAUAAAUACAAUAUCAAAAAUAUAUUUUCAAAGAUGGUAUACAAAUAUAAAAAUUAUAGUUGAAGAUUUUGAAAUAGAAAUAGUAGCAUUAAUAGACUCAGGAGCUGAUAUGAAUUGUAUUCAAGAAGGAAUAAUUCCUACUAAAUAUUAUGAAAAAACAGGACAAGAACUUUUUGCUGCAAAUAAAGGAAAAUUAGAAAUAAAAUAUAAACUUCAAAAUGUUCAUAUAUGUCAAGAUAAUUAUUGUUUUAGAACUCAAUUUAUAUUAGUACAAAAUAUGAAUGAACCUCUAAUAUUAGGAACUCCUUUUAUUACCUUACUUUACCCUUUUCAAGUAAAUGAUGAAGGUGUCAAAACUACAAUAUUAGGAAAUACCAUAUUUUUUCCCUUUAUAUAUCCAUUAACUAAAAAAGAAAUACAUCAAGUUCAAAGUGAUUCAAUAAAUAAGAACAUAAAUUUAAUUCAAAGAAAGAAAGCUCAUAUAAAUUAUCUAUCAAAAGAAAUUCAAUAUAAAACUUGUUCUACAAUUUAUAAUUUAAUAGUAAAUUUUAAUUUUAUAAUUAAACUAUUUAAGAAUAAUAAAUAAAAAUAUUAUAUCAUACAAUUAAAUAUACUAAGCAAUUUGUAUUUUACUAUAUAUUUUAUACUUAUUUUUCAGUCAAAUAAAUAAUACUGAAAUUAUUGUUAAUGGCAUUAAAUACAAAUUUAAUGGGAAACAGGAUCUCAUGCUUGUUAGGUUAUCCAUGGGGAAUAAAACAGCCUAAGGUCGAUCCUAAAAAUCCUAAACUUAGAACUUAGUUUAGGGAGAAUUUUGUUUUGAGCCUAGUUGGGCCAAAAAAAUUGACUAAAGAUCCAUAUAUCAUGCACAUUUAAACCCAAGACACCAAAUAAAGUGUAAAAAUUAAGUUUAUGGAUAUUAUCCUUCAUUAAUCUUUAAAAUAGCUUUAACCCCUAUAUAGACACAUAGUGAGUGUAAAUUUCAAAUUUUUUUUUUUUUUUGUGUUGUUUUCCCUUUUCUAUUCCCAAUUAAAUAUUACUCAUUUCUAACUUUUUUAUUUUUCUUUUUUAAAGAUAUUGAAUCUUUUUACUCUUAUUAUAAGUAAGAAUAAAAAAAUUUCAUAUAAAAUUUAAUGGAUAAUCAAUGAAUGAAAUUUAAUUCUUUUUAUUAUUUUUAUAUAAAAAUAGUAUUAAACAAGGUUUUCAAUUUUUAUUUUUAAAAAUAGUUUUCAUUUUUUAAUUAAAUGUUUUUUCAAAAAGAAAAUAUAAAAAAUAUAAAUCAUAUUACCAUUUUUUUAGAAAGUAUUUUUAAAAAUAGUUUUUGAAAGUAAUUUUUCUUUAUUUAUAAUUUAAAAUAGAAAAUAAAGCUAAUUUUCAAUUAUUUAUAAAAAAAAAGUUUUAAAAAACAAUGAAAAAUCCAAAUGGUUAAAAUAGAAUUAUUAUGGUUGAAUGAAUAGUGGUGCAAUAAAAACCAAAAAAUCUUAUGUGAAAGGUCAAUGAGUAUUUUGAUCUUUUGAUAUCAUAUAUCAUUUCUAUCAAUUAUGUAAGUUAUAUGAACCAAAUCUUAAUUUUUGGACAUAGUUGGACCUAAAACACAAUUGUCCCCUUAGUUAAUGUGCAUAGACCUGUUAUUGUCUCAAGGUGGGUAGAAGAAUUGGUGACAUUAUUUGGAAGAAUGAUCAAUAAAGACGAAGAUGACUUUGUUUUCUUUGGUUGACUUUGAAACAUUGGAGUAGAAUUUGUGUCUUUCUUAGAAUGAGAGAUGACAUGGUUAAAAUAACAGUACAUAGUUAGCAAGAUCAAGGAAACAAAGUUUAAGUUGGUGACUCCAUGGUUUCAGUUGAUGUGUGGCAAAUAAUGGGUCAAUUGUCCAUUUGUAAACAUAUGAGUUCACCAAACCUUGGACUUGGAAACUCUCCAACUAUCUCAUUACUGGAAGGAAGACGACGACUAGAGUUCUCUAUAUGUAGCUUUGUUAAGUUUGAUUCAUUCUUAUGGUCAAAGUCUAUGUCGCUUUACCUCAUUGGAAAAAAAAGAAAAAAAAAACAAAUCCUUGAAGAAUUGUUUGUCUAGAAUGAUUUGAACGUUUGUUGAGUGGUCUUGUCAUUGGAAGAUUAUUAGGGAAUGAAAAUGACUACCGUUUUUAUUUUUAUUUUUUAUUUUCAUUUUUAUAUAUAGCCUUCUUGAGUUUGAUUCACUCUUAAGGUCAAGGUCUUUCAAUUGAUUGUGUCUUGUGUGAUUUGAAUGCAUGUUAACUCUAGUGGUUGGGUGACAACUCCGAUCGCCUAUUCUUUAUUUCAUUUGGAAAAAAAUUGCAUUCAACAGUUUGAAUGCCUGUUGAGUCAAGUGGUUGCCUAGCAACUUGUACAGUGUAUAUUAUUUUACAUUCUAUCAACUCUAGGUUUUUUAAGACAACCAUCCAUCCAUUCUAGGUUCAAACUUCAAAGAAGCCUUUACAGCUUUAAGACAAUCACCCGAGAAUAUGAAACCAAAUAGAUAAAUACCUUUCAUGAUUAUGGACCAAAGCUACAUUAGGGUUAGGGAUUGACUUUAUACCAUUUAUAACAAUCCGUUUCUAAUAGUGUGUAUAUUAUUCGUUCUGGACCCAAAAAGAUCCUUACGGUUUUGAAAUGCGUUCAUAUAAUUAAGAGGAACUCAUAUUUAUUCAACGUUGAAACUUUCUUUGUUCUCAUAUGUGAGAUAUCUCAAUUGUUACGAGACAGGGACAAACAUGGUUUUGAGGGUUAGUCUUGUAAUCAUCUUUAUGUUACAGAUCCUAUAUUCCUAUUUACAUUUAAUUUUUUGUAGACCUGAUCCAUGAGAACGGAGACUUGGAGAAGUCUUCCACUCCCUUUGAAAGGGCUAUUAUUAGGUAAAACAAUGGUAAGACUUUUUGUCUGUGAAGACUUGACUUGGGCUUGUUCCAGACUGGUGAAGGCACUUUCCCCUACUUCACUUUGGAAAAAAUGCACUUUUGGGUUUUGAGUUGACUGCAUUGACUUGAUACAAGUUUACAAUAAUGGCCGAGCUGAUCAAACUUACAAUUAUUAUGCAGUUUUGUUGUUGCCAAAACUUGUUACAUAUACUGGGGAUGAAGAUAACUUGUAAUCCUUUUGUUUUAUGAUAUCAGAAGUUUUUGUUUAGGCCCUUGAUAUCCAUCUUAGGCUUAAUUUUGGUGCUAUGUAUUCUUGAAAACGAAGCUGAUUGUGACUACCAUAUAUUUAGUGGAUGGCCUUGUUUUUGUUGCAUGUAUCAGUUUUGGUGAAAAUUUUGGACUCUCACUUGUAGAAUUAGAAAGGAAGCUUCGGGGAUUUGACAUUUCUUUUCUCUGGUUUGAUCAAUCCAUUUGAGCUCACCAAAUUUGACCCUUUUUAAUGGGUCACACCUCAGCUCUUCAUAAGUUUAUGGUAGGCCAAGAUUUGCCUUGGUUCCCUUUACUUUCGAGUAUAUAUGUAGCCUUUUUUUUUUUAGUAUGAAAAUCACAAUAGCUUCAUAAUAAAGCUAACUAGGGUAAAGUUUUUACCUUAAAAUAAAUAAAAAAUUGUUCUCAUUAGCAGUUUUUUGCAGGACAAGAAAAAUAUCGAAGAAAACAGGUGUUAUACGAGAAAACGGAAACUUGAACAUGAAUAAACCAUUAAUCUCAUUGUUUAACAAUGCUAUAUUUAGAACAUCAAAUCUUUGAUGUUCAAGCCUUCAAUCCUCUUAUCCUUGCACAUUGUCAGCCGGUACCCGAGGUGCAAUUUUCUAUUCACCCACAAAAAGUCUUUUUGAUAUUUUUACAACUUUAUCAAUUACUCGAACGAAAUUUAGUUAUGGAAAAGAACUGGGACUUUUGAAGAUGCAUUACAUUGUGUUGAAGAUGCAGGAGGUUCGAAACCAUGCAUUAUUGGUAGACUAGGUAGAGUUCCACUCAAAUUAUUUCUUACCUUGCUAAAUUCUCUGUGACAACAUCUGAGAAAUAAUCUCCAUGGUUGGCCUGGAUUGUGGAUUGGCAUUUAAACAUGCAGUUGCGAGCUUUAUGAUAGCUACCACUUCCCCUUCGUCUUGGGGUGUGAGAGGUGGGAGUCGCGGGUCCAACAUGUCUUUCAACACUAUGUUCUUCUCUGGGGAAACUGAUAUAGACAAGAUUUGAUCUCCAGGAUGUCUUCCUUUGAUAACUUCCAGUGCUAUCACUCCAAAGCUAUAGACAUCGGUUUUUUCUGUGACCUUCAUUGUAUAAGCAUGCUCUGCAAAAUUAGAAGAUAAAUAUUACAUCGUGAGCAUGUUAGAUUUCUUUGUUAGUUGAGGAGUGAAGUGUACCUGGUGCAACGUAUCCGACUGUGCCUGCAAGUUUGCUCUGAUUUGAUGAGUCUACCUUAAGAAGCUUGGCAGUGCCCAAGUUAGAAAUAUGAGCCUCAUAUUGAGAAUCCAGCAGAAUAUUGUUGCUCGAUAUAUCCCGAUGAACAAUCGGGGGUGAGCAAUCAUGGUGCAUGUAAGACAAAGCGUGAGCCACUCCUUUGAUGAUCUUGACCCUUGUAGCCCAACCCAAUUUUUUAGCUUCUUCUCUGCUCAAGAUUGUAGCCAAGCUACCUCUUUCAAGGUACUCAUAGACCAAAAAGGAGUGUCGUGGAUAUGAACAGAAACCAAGAAGUCUCACAAUGUUUCGAUGCUUGAUCUCUGUCAUUGCCCUUACUUUAUUCAAGAAAUCCUUUUGAUUUGCCAUAUCCAUGUCGGAUGGGUGAAGCUUCUUCACAGCUACUAUAUUACCUGAUGGCAGCUCUGCUUUGUAAACGCUUCCAUGCCCUCCCUUUCCGAUGCAAUACAUGGGAUCAAAGUCCUUGGUGGCCUUUAUAAUCUCUUCAUACAUUGCUCUUCCAUCAAAAGUUGAUAUUGAGAGGAGAUUAUUCUGUACAUCACCUUCUUCGAUUUCUGGAGUUCUCUCUCUUCUUUCAGCAAUCAAGAAAAUCCCAAUGAAAGCAGAAAGAAGUACAAGUGCUCCCAAAAGAGGGAAUAUGAUAAUAAACACAACUUUGUGGCUCUUUUUGACAGGUUGUUGGUCUACUCCAAAACCAUAUUUGCAAGGUUGCAACCCUUUAACAUUGCCGCACAAAUCUUUGUUCCCCUUUAGCACCUCAAUGGUAGCAUUUCGAAAUGCAUUGCUGUGAGGAAUGGGACCCUGCAACUGAUUGUAGGAAAUGUCAACAUACGACAAGGCAGGCAUGUCCUCAAAAGCCUUUGGGAUGAAACCACAAAGGUUGUUAUGGGAGAGAUCAAGCAUCUCCAAACUCUCCAAACCUUGGAUCUGUGCCGGGAUGCCACCUGUAAGCAAGUUGUGACUCAGAUCUAGCUGGGAGAGGUGACUCAGCUUACCCAUCUGAACCGGAAUUCCGUGGCUGAGUUUGUUAUUGCUCAGGUUCAAGUAAUGCAAGUCCAAGCAGUCGCCCAAGUGCUCUGGUAUUGACCCAUUCAAUCUAUUGGCUGAAAGGUCUAGAUACUCAAGGUGGGACAGCGAUCCAAGUUCAGGAGGAAUACUCCCGGAAAGUUGGUUGUCAUUCAAUAUCAGCCCCAACAGAGAAGUCAAACUUCCCAUUUUCUUUGGAAUUUCCCCAACCAAAUGAUUUGAAGAAAGAUCAAGCAAGAUUAGAUUAGUUGAGAUUCCAAAAUCUUCUGGUAUGCUCCCUGUAAUAUUGUUCCCGGCAAUCUCCAGCCUUUGUAGUUGUGGGCAUCUUCCCCAGUUAUGAGAGAGUUCACCAUGAAACCUGUUGUAGCUCAAAUCGAUGAAUUCCAGGUUUGGACAGUCACCAACUACCUCAGAUACAUUUCCAGUGAGUCGGUUUCCCUGGAACAGAGCUCUGGUUAAGUUUCUGCAAUUUUUCAAGCUUUUGGGGAUGGGACCACUGAGAUGGUUGUCACUCACUGUAAAGCGCUCCAGAGAUCCACCUUGGCAAAUGCCUUCCGGUAAAGAGCCAAACAGCUGGUUUGUGUCGAUUUCUAGCACAACCAACUUAUGAAGUUUCCCAAUUUCUUGAGGAAAGUAACCAGAAAGACGGUUAUCACGGAGGAAUAAAAUUUCUAAGUUGGUUAGAUUACCCAGUGAAGUAGGAAUGGAACCAUUGAGUUGAUUUUCUGAAAGUUCUAGAUCAACAAGAGACUUCAAGUUACCUAUUUCUUGAGGAAUGGGACCGGAAAGUUGAUUGGCAUAGAGAUGCAGGAGGGUUAGGCCACUCAGAUCACAUAAUGACACAGGGAUUGGGCCUGAAAGAUUGUUUCCGUAGAGGCUUAGACCUUGCAGGGAUUUCAAAUUUCCUAUUUCUGGUGGGAUAGGCCCAGAGAGGCUAUUGUUGAACAAGUACAACACGGUUAAAUGUUUCAAAUUUCCAAAAGUGGAAGGGAUGGGACCUGUGAGAUUGUUGGUAUCCGAGUAUAGCUGAACAAGGUUGGUGAGAUUUCCCAUUUCUGGAGGAAUGGAACCCGAAAGUUGAUUUUCAUAGAGAUACAAAGAGGCCAAGUUGCUCAAAUUACCCAAAGAAGCAGGAAUAGAACCCUCCAGUUGGUUGGUGUACAAAGCAAGCUCAUAAAGAGACGUCAACUGACCUAUUUCAUGAGGAAUUGAACCAUUCAACUGAUUUUGAACCAGGUGUAAGACCUCAAGAUUAGUUAAUAGGCCGAUCUCGGGCGGAAUCCCUCCUGAGAACUGGUUGAUAGAGAGAUCAAGGUAUUUGAGCUUGGAGAGGAGACCGAUUUGGGGUGGGAUAGGACCAGAGAGGUUGUUCAUGCUGAUAUCAACAUACGCAAGAUUGGGAAAAGAUGAGAAUGAGAAGGCUUGGAGCGUACCUCCUAAACCCGACUCUGUGAGGUUUAUUCUGAUGACGCUCCCUGCAUGGUUGCAGGAUAUUCCGUACCAUUUGCAUGGACUGACUUCUGUUCCAAGGUGGGUAGAAGAAUUGGUGAAGUUGUUAGGAUAAAGAGUCCACGAAAGGAGGGAAGAAUGGUUAUGGUUGUGAAGGGUAGCUUUCCAUUUGAGGAGAGCUUGUGUUUCUUCAUUAGAAUAAGAAGAAACAUGGUCUGAAGAAAUCAACAUAACCAAGAGGAGCAAGGAAACAAGGGAGAGCAUUUUCUGUAAGGUUGAGGGUGCCAUGGUUUUGGUUGAUGAAUUGCAUAUGCUGCUUCACAACUUCAUUUAUACACAUUUGGUUCCUUUGUUCGUCCCACUCGGAAACUUCCUUGUUCACACUUCACACCAAUUAAAAUUCAGCCCUUUAAUGUCAAGAUUGAGGUCUUUUAAAGCAUGGCUCCCUUUUUCUUUCUUUUUGCCUGGGGUUCCCUUUCUACUAGCAUGGUGGUCUUCCUAUAUCUUUGUGGUCGUCGAAGUCUUCUCCGGUCUCUUUCAAAAUGAAUAAUGACGAUGAAGGUUGGUUGGAGACUAACGCUCUCUUUGACAAUUAUUUUGGACAACAGAGCAGGUUUAGUAAUAAAAAAAUUAUUUUUUAUUUUUUAUUCUUAAACACAGAAAAUGAUAUGUUUUUUAGGGACUUUUUUUUUAAUUAUCAUCAAUUAUUUUGAUUUGUUUUUUAAAAAUUAUUUUAAAAAAUAACUAUAAAAAAUGGAGAAUAAUUAAAAAAAAUGGACAAAAAUUUUAUUUUUAAAAAUAUUUAAAAACAUUAAAUAUGUGAUAAAAAUAUUUAAGAUUUCUAAAUACAUUUUUAUUUUACCAUUCAUCAAAGAACUGCCGUUAAAAACUGUUAUAAAAAAAUAGUUGUUAAAGAUAACUUAAUUUUAUUUGAAUCUUUGUUUUUAUCUUUACGAUGAUCUUCUUCUUUUACUCUUUGUAAAAGAAAACCGAACUUGAAAAUUUGUUUCAGUUAAGUAAUUAUAAAAGAAAAUUUUAGUCUACUUAAUAACUAAGUUGAUUUAUUAAAACUUAAUAAUUAAUAUUUACCCUAGGCUUGGUUUUUAGAAAAUUUUAAAUGAAUUGAAUAUGAAAAAAAAAUGAAGUUUUAAAAAGAAAAAAACAAAAUUUAAGUUAAUAAAUUAUUUUUAUAUGUUUUUAAAUUUUAUUUGAAUGAUUUAUUUUUAUAUAAAGAAUAAAUAAUUUAAAAAUGCUUAAAUUUUUAAAUGAUUUUAAUUAUAUUUAAUUUAUUUAUUUUUAUGUAUUUUACAUUUUAAUAUUUAUUAUAAUAUGAAAUAUCAUAUGUUUAUUAUUAUUUGAAAUUGCUUUACAAUUUAUAAUUUAAUAGGAAAUUUUAAUUUAUUUAUUGAUAGUAUUCAUAAUUAAACUAUUUAAAACUUAUAAAUAAAAAAUAGUAUAUUAUAUAAUUAAAACAAUUUGUAUAGAUUAAAAUACUGUAGUAAUGAUAUAUAUUAGUAUUUUACUGUGUAUUUUAUACUUAUUUUUCAGUUAAUUUAAUUUUAAUUUUAAUUUUUAAUUUUUAAUUUUAAUUAAAACAAUUUAACUUUAAUUUUUUAAUUAUUAUUUUUUUAACUUUUAAGUAAUAUAAAAAAAAUUAAAGAAAAAUAAAAGGAAAUGGAUAAGAAAAGUAAAUCCGUGAUUCGGCCCAUUCCAGUCCACAGUUACCGCCGACGACACCGACGUCAGUCAACCGGCAACCGCGACGCCGCCUCAGCAGCGCAGUCACUGCCGCCAUCUCCGGAAACUCCACAGCACCACUCCUUUCCACCCAGAUGCCACGCGCCGUCGCUCACGGCAUCUCCGCCCGUGGCCUUGCCAUUCAAGGCGCCGCUCCGUCGCCGACUCCUUCCACACCCACCCCAUUCACUAACGCCAAGACCACCAUGGUCUCGGCCACUGCCUCUGGUAGCCAACAUGGCUGCCAUCUUCAUCCUCCAUCUCACCUCUCCGCCGUACCCCACUACCAAUCUCCUUCGGCCUCCAUGAUCCCCAUCUCCGCCGCUGAACCCAUCACCCUACCGGCGCCAACAUCUUUUCUUCUUUAUUUAUUUAUUUAUUUAUUCCAGUGCUGCUCAUAUAUUUUGAUAUGUAAAUAUUUAAUUUGUUAAUUAGAAAAUACAUGAGUAGCAGUCUUGGUAGAUGAAUGGAUGAAUUUUCUGCAUGAGUAGCAGAGAUUUAUCUACUUCUAUUCACACAAAACCACACUUUAUUUCUUUGGGCACAAAGCCACAAUUUCUAUGAGUACAAAUCACACCGGGUACUUGAUGUAGAAAGAAAGACUAAACAAACUCAAAAGGCAUUACAUAGUGCUGAAGAUGCAGGAGGUUCGAAACCAUGUGUUACGGUAGACUAGGUAGAGUUCCCCACAAACUAAAUCUUACCUUACUACUUUCUCUGUGAUAACAUCUGAGAAACAGUCUGCAUGGUUGGCCUGGAUUGCGGGUUGGCUUUUAAGCAUUCAAUUGCUUGCUUUAGGAUAGCUAUCACUUCCCCCUCAUCCUGGGGUGUGAGAGGUGGGAGUCGGGGGUCCAACAUGUCUUCCAACGCUAUGUUAUCCUUCUCUGGGGAAACUGAUAGAGACAAGAUCUGAUCUCCAGGAUGUCUUCCUUUGAUAACUUCCAGUGCUAUUACUCCAAAGCUAAAGACAUCAGUUUUUUCGGUCACCUUCAUUGUAUAAGCAAGCUCUGCAAAAUUAAAAGAUAAAUAUUAUAUCGUGGACAUGUUUCAUACCUUGUUUAAUUCAAGAGUGAACCGUACCUGGUGCAAGAUAUCCGAAUGUGCCUGCAAGUAUGCUCUGAUUCGAUGAGUCUAGCUUUAGAAGCUUGGCAGUGCCGAAGUCAGAAAUAUGAGCUUCAUACUGAGAAUCCAGCAGAAUAUUGUUGCUUGAUACAUCCCGAUGAACAAUAGGGGGUGAGCAAUCAUGGUGCAUGUAAGCCAAAGCAUGAGCCACUCCUUUAAUGAUAUUGACCCUUGUAGCCCAACCCAAUUUCUUAGCUUCUUCUCUGCUCAAGAUUGUAGCCAGGCUACCUCUUUCAAGGUACUCGUAGACCAAAAACUUGUGUCGUGGAUGUGAACAGAAACCAAGAAGUUUCACUAUGUUUCGAUGCUUGAUUUCUGUUAGUGCCCUUAUUUCAUUUAAGAAAUCCUUUUGAUUUGCCAUCUCUGUGUCGGAUGGGUGAAGCUUCUUCACAGCUACUAUAUUACUUGAUGGCAGCUCUGCUUUGUAAACACUUCCAUGGCCUCCCUUUCCUAUGCAAUACAUGGGAUCAAAAUCCUUGGUGGCCUUUAUAAUCUCUUCAUACAUUGUUCUUCCAUCAAAAUUUGAUAUUGAAAAGAGAUCAUUCUGUACGUCACCUUCUUCGAUUUCUGGAGUUCUCUCUCUUCUUUCAGCAAUCAAGAAAAUCCCAAUGAAAGCAAAAAGAAGUACAAGUGCUCCCAAAAGAGGGAAUAUGAUAAUAAACACAACUUUGUGGCUCUUUUUGACAGGUUGUUGGUCUACUCCAAAACCAUAUUUGCAAGGUUGCAACCCUUUAACAUUGCCGCACAAAUCUUUGUUCCCCUUUAGCACCUCAAUGGUAGCAUUUCGAAAUGCAUUGCUGUGAGGAAUGGGACCCUGCAACUGAUUGUAGGAUAUGUCAACAUACGACAAGGCAGGCAUGUCCUCAAAAGCCUUUGGGAUGAAACCACAAAGGUUGUUAUGGGAGAGAUCAAGCAUCUCCAAGCUUUGCAAACCUUGGAUCUGUGGCGGGAUGCCACCUGCAAGCAAGUUGUGACUCAGAUCUAGCUGGGAGAGGUGACUCAGCUUACCCAUCUGAACCGGAAUUCCGUGGCUGAGUUUGUUAUUGCUCAGGUUCAAGUAAUGCAAGUCCAAGCAGUCGCCCAAGUGCUCUGGUAUUGACCCAUUCAAUCUAUUGGCUGAAAGGUCUAGAUACUCAAGGUGGGACAGCGAUCCAAGUUCAGGAGGAAUACUCCCGGAAAGUUGGUUGUCAUUCAAUAUGAGCCCCAACAGAGAAGUUAAACUUCCCAUUUUCUUUGGAAUUUCCCCAACCAAAUGAUUUGAAGAAAGAUCAAGCAAGGUUAGAUUAGUUGAGAUUCCAAAAUCUUCUGGUAUGCUCCCUGUAAUAUUGUUCCCGGCAAUCUCCAGCCUUUGUAGUUGUGGGCAUCUUCCCCAGUUAUGAGAGAGUUCACCAUGAAACCUGUUGUAGCUCAAAUCGAUGAAUUCCAGGUUUGGACAGUCACCAACUACCUCAGAUAUAUUUCCAGUGAGUCGGUUUCCCUGGAACAGAGCUCUGGUUAAGUUUCUGCAAUUUUUCAAGCUUUUGGGGAUGGGACCACUGAGAUGGUUGUCACUCACUGCAAAGCGCACCAGAGAUCCAGCUUGGCAAAUGCCUUCCGGUAAAGAGCCAAACAGCUGGUUUGUGUCGAUUUCUAGCACAACCAACUUAUGAAGUUUCCCAAUUUCUUGAGGAAUGUAACCAGAAAGUUGAUUAUCACGGAGGAAUAAAAUUUCUAAAUUGGUUAGAUUACCCAGUGAAGUAGGAAUGGAACCAUUGAGUUGAUUUUCAGAAAGUUCUAGAUCAACAAGAGACUUCAAGUUUCCUAUUUCUUGAGGAAUGGGACCGGAAAGUUGAUUGGCAUAGAGAUGCAGGAGGGUUAGGCCACUCAGAUCACAUAAUGACACAGGGAUUGGACCAGAAAGAUUGUUUUCGUAGAGGCUUAGCUCUUGCAGGGAUUUCAAAUUUCCUAUUUCUGGUGGGAUAGGCCCAGAGAGGCUAUUGUUGAACAAGUACAACACGGUUAAACGUUUCAAAUUUCCAAAAGUGGAAGGGAUGGGACCUGUGAGAUUGUUGUUAUUCGAGUAUAUCUCAACAAGGUUGGUGAGAUUUCCCAUUUCUGGAGGAAUGGAACCCGAAAGUUGAUUUUCAUAGAGAUACAAAGAGGCCAAGUUGCUCAAAUUACCCAAAGAAGCAGGAAUAGAACCCUCCAGUUGGUUGGUGUACAAAGCAAGCUCAUAAAGAGAUGCCAACUGACCUAUUUCAUGAGGAAUUGAACCAUUGAGCUGAUUUUGAACCAGGUGCAGGACCUCAAGAUUAGUUAAUAGGCCAAUUUCUGACGGAAUCCCUCCUGAGAACUGGUUGAUGGACAGAUCAAGGUAUUUGAGCUCGAAGAGGAGACCGAUUUGGGGUGGGAUAGGACCAGAGAGGUUGUUCAUGCUGAUAUCAACAUAUGCAAGAUUAGGAAAAGAUGAGAAUGAGAAGUCCAUGAGCGUACCAUUUAAACCCGACUCUGUGAGGUUUAUUUUGAUGACACUUCCCGCAUGGUUGCAGGAUAUCCCAUACCAUUUGCAUGGACUGGUUGCCGUUCCAAGGUGGGUAGAAGAAUUGGUGGAGUUGUUAGGAUAAAGAUCCCACGAAAGGAGGGAAGAAUGGUUGUGGUUUUGAAGGCUAGCUUUCCAUUUGAGAAGAGCUUGUGUUUCUUCAUUAGAAUAAGAAGAAACAUGGUCUGAAGAAAUCAACAUAACCAAGAGGAGCAAGGAAACAAGGGAGAGCAUUUUCUGUAAGGUUGAGGAUGCCAUGGUUAUGGUUGAUGUAUUGCAUGUACUGCUUCACAACUCUAUUUAUACACCUUUGGUUCCUUAGUUCCCACCCUUUCUGAAAGUAAUUCACAAGUCUUUGUAGUCAGAAACUGUCUUGUUCAUACCCAUUCAAACGGCUUUUUAGGUUAAGAUUAAGGUCUUUGCAUGUCUCAUUCCUGCCUAUUUCAUGGGUACACUUUCUACUAAUAUGUUGGUCUUCCUAUAUCUUUAUGGUCAUCGGAGUCUUCUCCUCCUUUCCAAAAGAAAAGUGAACUUGAAGGCUGGUUGGAAUUAAAUGAUUUGUUAAUUAAAUUAAGUUAAUUAAAUGGACUCAUCACGUUGAUUUACUUACCAUACAGCCUUUGAAAGAUGAAUAAAGAUCUAACUAACGUGGAUGUGCCACUUCAUGCAGAAAAAAAUCGAUACAAUGCUAGACGUGUCAAUUCUCCCACUGCUUCUGCUUUGGAAGACUUGGAGUAGUGUCUCUUUCGCUUUCGCACUCACCAUGGCGGCUUCUAGGAAGACUUGAUUAGAGUGUUUCACACUUCAUAGGUCUCCCCACUUUGAAAAUAAAAAAUUCAAAAUAAAAGACCAGGGUUUCCAGGAAACACAACAGAUUUUGAAAUGGUUGUUGCCACUUAAUUUAACUUUUCUGCAGUUUAAUGGUAAUUUUGGUGGACCAUCCGAGUAAAAGAGUUGUUCAUGUUGGUUAUUGUAAGUUUAUUAUUGGCAGGAAACACAGGGGAUUUAUGAUGAUUUUUUUUUUAUGUAUGGUGGAAGAUUUUUGUUGAGUUUGAGACAAAGAUCUUAAAGUUGAUAAUGUUGGCGUGAGCUGUUCUCUGAACCAUUAAAGGAGAAAAAUCAAUCACUGCAAUCAGUCACUGCAAUCCCUCAGCAAUUGUAGCCGUAAUCCAUGUAGUCCAUGUAUAGCCUUUUCUUUUAUCUAUAUAUACACUUGUACUCUAAUGAAUUGAUAUAGAAUAAAAAAAUAUCUCGGACCAACAUGGUAUCAGAGCAGAAUUCGAUCCUCUACCCUCUGUUCAACCAAAUUUCUUAAAAACAGAGCCCAAACUCUUUUCACACGGCAGAUACAGAUCCUCACUCGGGUGAGCACUCGGGUGAAUCUUCAAUCUCGCCAUCUGUACUGUCUGAACUAACGGCAAGGAUGACAAAAGCUUUGAGUAAAGCUCCGACGUCCAUUCCAGCCACCGACUCAGCAAUUGCCCCGAUUGGCAUCAAACUGGAUGGCACAAAUUACGCCAUCUGGUCACAAGUCGUAGAGAUGUAUGUCGCGGGCAAGGAUAAACUCGGCUACAUCAACGGCGACCUUCCUCAACCAUUAACAACCGACCCUUUCUUCCGUAGGUGGCGGACUGAGAAUGCAACUGUGAAAGGAUGGCUGAUUGGUUCGAUGGAUCCAUCCCUUAUUGGCAACUUCAUUCGGUUUCCAACGGCAAAGCAAGUUUGGGAUGCAAUUGCAACCACUUACUUUGAUGGAAGUGAUGCAACCCAAGUUUAUGAACUCCGACGACGAGUGGCGCGACUCAGGCAGGGUAGUGGCUCUCUAGAAAAAUACUACAAUGAUCUCCAAGGUCUAUGGCGGGAGAUUGAUUUCCGUCGUCCCAAUCCAAUGCAAUGUCCAGCAGAUAUCCAACAUUUUAACAAUAUGCUGUAGGAGGAUCGGGUAUAUACGUUUCUUGAUGGUUUGGAUGAUAAACUUGAUAAUAUUAGAAGUGAUGUGUUGCAGCUUAAGCCAUUUCCCACAGUGGAACAGGCAUAUGCCCAUGUUCGUAGAGAAGCUGUGCGUCAGGCGGUGAUGACAGCCAGUAAUGGAGAAGAGGCGGCUGGAGCAGUGAUGGCUUCACGAAGCCUCAAACAAGGGCCCUCCAUUGCAGCCAACUCUCUGUCAUUGAAUGGAAAAUUUUCUAAGUCAAAUGGCCCAUCCAAUGACAUGAAAUGCUCUCAUUGUGGAAAUUCGAAGCAUACUCGAGACACAUGCUUCAAACUACAUGGCUACCCAGAUUGGUGGCAUGAAUUACAAGCCAAAAGGCGACGAGAUAGGAAUGGGAAAGAUGGUGGAGCUAGCAAAAAUGCAGCUAAUGGCACGGGCAAUGCCGCGAUAGCCUCGGCUGAGUCCCAAUUGUCACUUAUUCUGACAACAACAAUUGAUUUGGAUACAGGUAUGAGUUUUCUCGGGACCAAUACCACUAAAUCAUAUGAUGGUUGGAUUCUUGAUUCAGGGGCGACAGACCACAUGACGUAUGAUGCAAGUGAUUUUUCUGAACGAUCCUCUCCUCGACGUACUAGCAUUGCUAAUGCUAAUGGAGACAUCUCUUUGGUAAAAGGGGCUGGUACAGUGAUGAUAUCACCAGCUCUCUCCUUAACCAAUACCCUUUUUGUACCCUCAUUGUCUCAUAAAUUAUUGUCCGUGAGCCAAGUCACGAAGGAGUUAAAUUGUAUUGUUCUAAUUUAUCCAACCUUUUGUCUUCUUCAGGAUAUUCUCACCAAGGAGAUAAUUGGGCGUGGUACUAAAAAGGGGGGGCUCUACUAUAUGGAAGAUUUUAGCAUCGGUCAAGCUAACCAUACAAGAAGCUCUAGUGAUCGAAAUAAGGCGAACAUUUUGUUGUGGCAUCGUCGGUUAGGACAUCCUUCAUUUGGAUAUUUGAAACUUGUAUUUCCUACUUUAUUUUCAGGUUUGUCGAAUUUGGAUUUUAAAUGCGAGACAUGCAUCUUAGAUAAAAGUCAUCGUGUUAGUUAUCCUUUGAGUUUUAAUAAGAGUCAGAUGCCUUUUGAAUUGAUUCACUCUGAUGUGUGGGGUCCAUCUCCCAAAUCCACCAUAUCUGGGGUUCGAUGGUUUGUGAUUUUUGUGGAUGAUUGCACUCGUAUGACCUGGUUGUAUCUAAUGAAGAAUAAGGAUGAAGUUUUCUCUGUUUUUUGCUCCUUUCAUGAGAUGGUUAAAACUCAGUAUUCUACUACAAUUCGCAUACUUCGAUCCGACAAUGGUGGAGAGUAUAUGCAUCGUGACUUCAAAAAUUAUUUCAGUCACCAUGGCUUGAUUCAUGAAACUACCUGUCCUCAAACACCACAACAAAACGGAAUUGCCGAAAGGAAAAAUCGGCAUAUUUUAGAGACUGCUCGGGCUAUUCUUCUUGGUGCUCAUGUACCUAAUCAUUUUUGGACUGAUGAUGUCACUACAGCAGUUCACCUUAUUAAUCGGAUGCCUUCUAGGGUUCUUAAGUUCAAGACUCCUCUCCAGGCCCUAUCCACUGUCAUCUCUCUACCUACUGCCUUAAUGCUUCCGCCUCGAGUAUUUGGCUGUGUUGCCUUUGUUCAUUUACACAAGAAUCAACGCACUAAACUUGAUCCCUGCGCAGUCCAGUGUCUUUUUUUGGGGUAUGGCCUACAUCAAAAGGGAUAUCGCUGUUAUGAUCCAUCUAAUCAUCGCACCUAUGUGACGAUGAAUGUCACCUUCUUGGAAUCAGAGACUUUCUACUCUCCAACCACAUCCACUUCUACUCUUCAGGGGGCGCCUCAAAAUAAAGAGUUGAAUUGGCUGAGGUUUGAUUGGGAGCCUAUUGUUUCUGAAUCCAAUACAGAACUUGAUGUUGAGCCUGUUGUUUCUGUAUCCAAUACAGAACCUGAUGUUGAUGUUGACACAGAACCUGGUGUUCUACCAUUAGUAAUUGAAGAGCAACAGCCACAACAGUCGAUAGUACCCCCUCCUUCCACAGUAUCCAAAGACCCAUCUCCUGAGAAUAUUCCUGAGGUAAGUUCCCUGAACACUCUGAGUACACCUGUGUUAACUAAUGAUGCUCAUGUGGGCUAUGAGUUACCAUACAGGCAUAAUCGAGGCAAGCCACCAGAUAGAUACUCUCCUAACAUAGAAGACCGGAGGUUGAAAUACCCGAUUGCCAACUAUGUAUCCACAAAGACACUUCCAGAACCUCUAAAGACUUUCGCAGCUGCACUCUCCUCGUGUCAGGUUCCUACAAGUGUUGAAGAAGCAAUGAAAGACCCGAGGUGGGUCCAGGCUAUGAAGGAGGAGAUGGAGGCACUAUUGAAAAAUAAGACCUGGAUUCUUGUCAAUCUACCUAAAUGACAGAAAACAGUGGGGUGCAAGUGGGUGUUUUCUAUCAAAUACAAGGUAGAUGGAACAAUUGAGCGUUACAAGGCGAGACUUGUAGCAAAGGGAUUCACGCAGACAUACGGAGUUGACUAUCAGGAAACAUUCUCACCCGUUGCCAAACUAAAUACGAUGAGAGUAUUAUUGUCACUUGCAGCAAAUCUGGAUUGGCCCCUGCAUCAGUUCGAUGUAAAGAAUGCGUUUUUACAUGGUGAUCUAGAAGAAGAUAUAUAUAUGGACAUUCCCUCAGGAUAUGUAGCCAACACAGAAGGCAACAUUGUUUGCAAGUUACAAAGAACUCUAUACGGGUUGAAACAAUCACCUCGAGCUUGGUUUGGGAGAUUCAGUACAGCAAUGAAAAAGUAUGGAUUCCAGCAAAGUAACUCUGAUCACACUUUGUUCCUAAAGCAUAGACAGGGCAAACUAACUGCUCUGAUAGUCUAUGUAGACGAUAUGAUCAUCACAGGAGACGAUUCAGAGGAGAUAGUGAGACUUCAAGAGCAAUUGGCAUCUGAGUUUGAAAUGAAGAACCUAGGAGGACUAAAAUACUUUCUGGGAAUUGAAGUUGCUAGAUCAAAGCGAGGUAUAUUCCUGUCUCAGAGAAAAUAUAUUUUAGACCUAUUAACAGAGGUUGGAUUACUUGAUUGUAAGCCUACAGAAACUCCAAUAAUUCCGAAUCACAAACUUGGAGAAUAUCCCAAUCAAGUACCAACAGACAAAGGAAGGUAUCAAAGACUGGUAGGCAAGCUUAUUUAUCUUUCUCACACACGGCCGGAUAUUGCUUAUGCAGUAAGUGUGGUAAGCCAGUUUAUGCAUUGUCCAAGUGAAGAUCAUAUGAGUGCCGUUAUGCAGAUUUUGAGAUAUUUGAAGUCCUCCCCUGGAAAAGGACUUAUGUUCUCCAAAAAUGAUCACCUAAGAGUAGAAGGAUAUACAGACGCAGAUUGGGCAGGGAACAUCAUGGAUAGGAAAUCCACCUCAGGCUACUUCACUUUUGUUGGAGGAAACUUGGUUACUUGGAGAAGCAAAAAACAGAAGGUGGUCGCUCUAUCCAGUGCGGAAGCUGAGUUUCGUGGAAUGGCUAAAGGGCUAUGUGAGUUAUUGUGGCUUAGGAGACUUCUAACAGAGAUUGGUUUUGCCCCUGACUCCGAGAUGAAGUUGUUUUGUGAUAAUAAAGCAGCAAUUGACAUCUCCCAUAAUCCCAUUCAGCAUGAUCGGACUAAGCACGUAGAAGUAGAUCGACACUUUAUUAAACAAAAUCUUGAUGCAAAGAUUAUCCAAUUCCCUUUUGUGAAAUCCGAAGACCAACUAGUCGAUAUUCUUACAAAAGCUGUGAGCAGUAAAAUAUUCCAUCACUCACUAGACAAGUUGGGACUUAUUGAUAUUUACAUACCAACUUGAGGGGGAGUGUUAGCGUGAGCUGUUCUCUGAACCAUUAAAGGAGAAAAAUCAAUCACUGCAAUCAGUCACUGCAAUCCCUCAGCAAUUGUAGCCGUAAUCCAUGUAGUCCAUGUAUAGCCUUUUCUUUUAUCUAUAUAUACACUUGUACUCUAAUGAAUUGAUAUAGAAUAAAAAAAUAUCUCAGACCAACAGAUAACUGUUUUUUUUAAAUAGUUUUUUAUUCUAGAAAAAACAAAAAAGGUUUGAUAGAAGAAAAAAAACAGAAAGUAAAUUGUUUUUUGAGUAUAUAUAAAAGUUAUUUUUAAAAUAUAUUUAAAAAUAUAAAAAAUAUAUGUUUGGGAAUGAUUUUAAGAAAUGUUUUUUAUAUUUUUUAAGAUAUGAAAAUUUUUUAUUUUUUAAAAAUUAUAAAAAUUAAAAACACUUCUUAAAAUCACUAUUCAUACACUUCCAAAAUAUUUUAAAUUCUUUAACGAACUUUUGUUUUACAAAAUAUUAUAAAAUAGUUGUAAAAAAUUAUUCUCUUUUUAGAUCCGUUUUCAAAAACACUUUUUAAAUAAAGCCAUAGUAUUCACUUUUUAUGGCAUUUUUUUUUCUUUUUUCUUUUUUAUAAUUUUCAAAUAAAUUAUUGUAUAAAAUCAUAACUUUUUUCCUUUUUAGAAAAAUCUUAAACAAUGGUUGAAAAUAUUUAAAGUUAAUAAAGUUACUUAUUAAAUUAUGAUUUUAUAACCUUAAGAAAAUUGACUUACCAAACCAAUUAAAAAAUAUGUAGUAUAUUUUCUUUCACCAAUUAAGGUUUAUUUCACCAUCAAACUAAGGGAAGUUUUAAAUAUUUCUAUUAUACGGUGGACUUGAACUCCAAGUAUGAGUUUAUGAUUAUCUUGAAACAUUGGAGAGACUUGUGCAUUUUGUAUAAUUGUUGAGAUCAUGAUGCAAAAUUUUUGUUGAGUUGUGAUAAUAUAUACAAAAAUUUAUUAGAAUUUGUAUGAGAAUUGAUUUUAAAAAUAGUUUUUUGUUCCUAAAAAUAGAAAUUUGUUCUCCGAAAACUCAUUUUUGAUAUAAAUAUCAUUCACUAUUUUAAAUAUUUUAUAUAUAUAUAUAUAUUUUAAAAAGUUAUUUUUACAAGAAAAUAAUAAGGACAUUUUUGUCAAAAUGGGGCCAAAAAAUAAUAAAGGGUUAGAUUUCCAAAUUUAGGUUUCCAAUAACCAUUUUAAUCAAAUAACCCUAAUAAUUUUUGGAAAAUUUUAAGUUUGGUAUCAUUUUGAUAUAUUUUUUAUUUUAUGUUUUUAAAAAGAAAAAAUAAUAUAAACUUUUACAUUAAAUAUAAAAACUCUUUGAAACUUAUUUUAAAAAUAUAAUAAUUUUUUUUAAAGAUAAAUUCAUAAGUUUUAUAUAAAAGUCAUUAUAUUUUAUAUUUUAUAUAGAAGUUUAAAAAUAAAAAAAUUCAAAAAAGUAUUUAUUUUUAGCAAAUAAUUUUAAUAAUUAAAGCGAAUAUUAAAUAACAAAUUUUAAAUUAACAACUUAAACCUAUCAUAUCGAAUAUGAAGUAUUAAGUCGUGUACAUAUUUGUUUGUUGUAACUUCGUUAAAGUUGUUAUUGAGCUCUUUAUAUAACUUUUGACUCUGUAUUUUUUAUUCAAUUUUUUGUUAAAUAAGAAAGGGUUAUUUUCUUCUUCCAUUUCCUUGUUUUCAACUUGAUAUGGUAUUAAAGCAAAUGAUAUGAUUUGCUGCUCUUUCUCAUCUCUAAUUCUUCUUAUCUUUGUUUUCCUUUAAGAUUGUUGAGUAUUGUUGUAUUUUUUUUUUUCAAUUGUUAUGGAGACUCCAUCAUCUGAAAAUUAAUGAACCUUUCAAUCCUUUCUUCAUUAUUUGGAUAGUUCAAGACUCAUUCUUGUUUCGCAAUCUCUCAUUGAAGAUAACUAUGCCUUUAAAAGUAAAGUGAUGUCGAUUGUUUUCUCUUUGAAGAACAAACAAAUACGUACAUGACAUAAUAUGAAGGUUGGUUAGGAUUAUAGUGGAGUUUUGGUCUUCACUUUGUAAAGCCCUUUUUGCUUUCCACACUAUGGAUCCCUUGCUUUUUUGCAUCUUUAAGUUCUCAGUGUAAAACUUACUUGUACAAUAAUGAUAACCAUUCAAUAUGAUCUUAUUAGUAAAAGUUACAUGGUCGGUUACCUUGAUAAAACUGCAACUUUAAGAUAACACCCUUAUAUCAAUAAAAUAAAAAAAAGCCACCCAUGUGUCUCAUCCCACAAACAAAAAAAAAAAAUUCAAUGUGGCACAAAAAGUAUCAAUAGAUGCAAUAUUUUUAGUUUUAUAUACAAACCCUUUUAUGCAAUUCCAAAGAAGGAUGAUUUAGUUCACUUUUGUUUUAGGGUGUUUCACGUGUUUUGAUUUUUGAAGAAUUCUUUAAAGAAUUUUUUUACAUAUUUUAUAUUUUACCCUCUCAUGUCUUACAUUUGGUGCUUUACUCCCAACUUGUAAAAAAGUAACACUUUACCAUUCAGACUUGAGUCAUGUUUUCCCGUCAAUGGUGAAUGAAUUACUUCUUAAGAAAAGAAAUAAAGCUGAAAUAUAUAAAAACAAAAAUAAAAAUACAUAUAGUCUAAGUUUGAUUAUCACAUUUUAAAUAAUAUGGAAAAAUAUGAAUAAUCAUACAAUAUCUUUUCAAAAUCAAAAUUAGUGAUCGUCAUAUUUAAAAAACAUUUGAAAAUUUUUGUUUCAACGCCGUUAAUUGAAAAUUAUUUAUAUUCAAUCUCAAACCAAUGUUGGAAUUAAAGUGUGAAAAAAAAACAAACAAGCAAUUUCAUUUAUAAUUUAUAAAGGGUUCUCGAAUGAUAUCGAAGUGUUACCGUUCAACAAGUUAGGGAAUAAAAUGUUAAAUUUUAAAUAUAAUAGGAUAAAUUCUAAAAUAUGCAAAAGGUCGGCCGAUAACUUUUUUUUUUUCUAUAUGCAGCAAAAUCAAUAUUGAUAAUGUUGGUUUUAAGCUUAUUUAAAAAAAAUUGAAACCAACAAUGACAAUUAAUAUUGAUUUUAAGAAAACAAUAUUAAUGGUGCUCUUAGUCUUUUACAAAAUUAUUCAAAAACCAACAUUCCCAAAUGAGAUUUUAUAUAAAACAAAUUUUAAAAAAUAAUUAUUUCACUCCAAAAUUUGCCAAACAAGUUCUUAAAGUUUGAAUAUUAUUUUCUCUUUCUUGAUAAAAAAAAAUACUUUUAAAAAUAGUAUUUGUAGUAAAAAAAAUUGUCUUUAAACAAAAGAGUACUAAUCAUUACUUUAAAAUUUUAAAAUAAUUUUAUUGUUUUAUACUUUUUUAUUAAUAAAUUUAUUUCUUUGUAUCUUCCUCGUAUUUUGAAUUUCAUAUCUUAGACUUUUGUAAUCAAACUUUCUUGGACCCGGACCGGACCGGACCCUUGUUAUAGAAUACAAUACCUGAAAAUUUUGUUGAUCGGAAUCUUGAUGGUGAGUGACAAAUUAACCCAAAGAGGAUAUCACUGAAUUGAAGAUUUAUUUUUUCAUUAAAUACAAUUAUUAUAUAUACAUAUUUGCACACAAAUUCGUCAGACUGGAUCGAGUUCCACACAAAUUAGAUAUUUCCUAGAUGGAUUAAAUCCUUUGUGACAACAUCUGAGAAACCAUCUGCAUGGUCGGCCUAGAUUGUGGGCUGCCGUUUAAGCAUGCAGUUGCGAGCUGUAUGACAGACGUCACUUCUGCUUCGUCUCGGAAUGUGGGAGGUGGGAGUCGAGGAUCUAACACAUCUUUCAACACUACGUUAUCCUUCCCUGGUGAAUCUGAUAGAGAGGAGAUAAGAUCUCCAGGAUGUCUUCCUCUCAUCACUUCAAGUGCCAGCACUCCAAAGCUGUAGACAUCGCAUUUCUCGGUUACCUUCAUCGUGUAAGCAAGCUCUGCAAAAUCAAAAGACAGAUUAUAUAUACAUACACCUGUACGUGUUAGAUUAUUUCUUUGAUAACUGAAGAGAAGAGGGAACUGAUGUACCUGGUGCGACAUAUCCAUAUGUGCCUGCAAGAGUGCUCCAGUUUGAUGAGUCUAGCUUCAGAAACUUAGCAGUGCCAAAGUCGGAUACAUGGGCCUCAUAUUUAGAAUCCAGCAGAACAUUAUUGCUUGAUAUGUCUCGAUGAACAAUUGGAGGCACACAAUCAUGGUGCAGGUAAGACAAAGCAUGAGACACCCCUUUAAUAAUGUUUACCCUUGUACCCCAACCCACUUCCUUAGCUUGUAAUUCUUUGCUCAAGAUUGUACCCAAGCUCCCUCGUUCCAGGUACUCGUAUACCAGAAAUGAGUGUCGUGAAUGUGAGCAGAAACCCAGAAGCUUCACGAUAUUUCGAUGCUUUAUCUCUGUCAAUGCUCUUAUUUCAUUCACGAAAUCCUUUUGAUGUGCCAUGUCAAUGUCGAAUCGGUGAAGCUUCUUCACAGCUACUAUGUUACCUGACGGCAGCUCUGCUUUGUAUACGCUUCCAUGUCCUCCCUCUCCGAUGCAAUACAUGGGAUCAAAAUCCUUGGUCGCCUCUAUGAUUGCUUCAUACGUUGUUCUUCCAUCAAAAGUCGAGAUUGAGAAGAGAUUUUCAGUCUGUACAUCACCGGCCUUCUCCAUUUUUGCAUUUCUUCUUCCUUGAGAAAUCAAGGAAAUCCCAAUGAAAGCAGAAAGAAUUAGAAGUGCUCCCAAAAGAGAGAAUAUGAUUAUGAAUACAGCUUUAUGAGUACCCUUUGUUGCAGAACGAUUUUCGCAAGGUUGUAACCCUUUAACGCUACCACACAAACCUUUGUUUCCCUGCAACACUUCAAUGGUAACAUUCUGAAAUGCUUCGCUGUUGGGAAUGGAACCCUGCAAAUCAUUGUAAGAUAUGUCGACUUGCCACAAGCCAUGCAUAUCCUCAAAAGCCUUUGGAAUGAUACCAGAUAGGUUGUUAUGGGAUAGAUUAAGCUUCUCUAAGCUCUGCAAACCUUGGAUUUGUGAUGGGAUUUCACCUGUAAGUAAGUUGUGACUCAGAUCAAGCAGGGAGAGGUGACUGAGCUUGCCCAUCUGAACCGGAAUUCCGUGGCUGAGUUUGUUGUUGCUCAGGUUCAAGUAAUUCAAGUCCAAGCAGUUACCCAAGUGCUCUGGUAUUGACCCAUUCAAUCUAUUUCCUGACAGGUCUAGAUACCCAAGGUCAG